AAGCCCUCGCGUUUGCGUGCAGAGAAUCAGGUUCGUGAUGAACAAUUUUGAUUGCCCCUCCCCUAAACCCAAUGCGUUCGCGAGUGGACGGACGUAUUCGCGAAAGGUCUCCCCCCUUAGCUUCUCUUUCGCAUCCAAUCAUUUGCAUUCGCGAAGAAGAACCUGAACUUACGGAUUUUUGCCUUACACAUUUGCGAGUGAGACUACGCGAACGCAAAGUACAAAUUCCAUGUGCACUUACUGUAGAAAAUCUGCAACACUUACUAAAGUCUAAAACUUUUUGAAUCACAUCUGAAACACACCAGAGCCCUCGGGUCUUCUAACCAAACAUACGUACCAAUUGAACAAUAUCAUACGAACUUAUCCAUGUGAUCUAAUUGCAAAAAUCACCUCAAAAACAAUUAACUAAACCUAAAAAUCAAGAAUUUUUCUCAAAUUUCUUCAAGUAUCAAAUUAGCAAUUCAAA
rnacentral:lncRNA from 1 species